UACGGAGUGUGCAAGCGUUACUCGGAAUCACUGGGCCUAAAGGGCGUGUAGGCGGGCUUUCAAGUCGGUUGUGAAAUCCCUCAGCUCAACUGAGGAACUGCAUCCGAUACUGUUUGUCUUGAGGACGAGAGGGGAGAGUGGAACUUCUGGUGGAGCGGUGAAAUGCGUAGAUAUCAGAAGGAACGCCGGUGGCGAAAGCGACUCUCUGGCUCGUAACUGACGCUGAAACGCGAAAGCUUGGGUAGCAAACGGG
rnacentral:rRNA from 1 species